GCCAUCUCCUACGAUACUAUCGUCUCCCACGCGCGUCAGUACAAAGCCUGUGCGACAUACUGGCUCAGGCCUUACGGCGUCCAACAGCACGGUGCCAUGCGAUACCAGUAGAUGUGCAAGUGCUUGCGGCGCUUCGGUUCUACGCCAGCGGGAGUUUCCAGUCAGUCGUCGGGGAUGUGGCGUCUGUCAGUCAGAGCAGCACAUCCCGUAUAGUUAAUGGGGUGACGAAAGCGAUCGUCGAACUGGCGAACGAGCAAAUAAGGUUCCCAAGAACGUCGACUGAAGUCCUACAAACAACUUUAGGGUUUCUCGACAUUGCCGGGUUUCCAAAGGAUCUGGGGUGCAUCGAUUGUACACACGUGUGUGUCAAACCUCCUAAGCGUGAGCUCCGUGCAGCCUAUCGCAACAGGAAGGGCCUCUAUUCAGUGAAUGUGCAAGCAGUAUGCAAUGCAGAUUGCGAAAUUACACAACUCACUGCUAGGUGGCCAGGAAGCAGCCACGACAGCUUUAUUUAAUCUAUGUGCAACUUGCACGGCGAGAUUAAGGAAGGCAGAAUGCCUGAAGGGUGGCUUCUAGGUGACUCAGGUUACCCUCCACAGCCAUGGCUGCUGACACCUUUCCAGGCACAAUCAACUACCGCAGAAGAGAAGUACAGUAAGGCUCAUCGCACAACCCAAC